GACGGACACCUCUCUCACAGAGGCAUUUAUUUUGGGACCAAGAGCGCGUGCUCCGAGCAGAGCAGAAGAGGAGGCAGAUAAGGCGUACUGUUGACCAAGCGGACGACUCCGUGGUUCAUGAUGGAGGGGUAUGUUUGUUUGAGAGCGCUCUGGGACUGGAUCAUCUCCAUGCUCAUUACCCUCAGUGCCACUGGUGGCAGUCUGGUUACCAUGGCGACGGGAUGAAAAGGCCACCCCGGGACCUGGCCUGACAUGGUGAAGACGUUCCCGGCCAGACCACACAUAGGAGAGGAAGACAUGGACGUUUACAAAGUAAAAGUCCCCCUCCCGCUUCCCUAAGUUUAUUGACUCACUGAUGCAAAUUAGAGGUACAACCAUCAGUGGGCUGGACACAAAUCAUGGCAAGGUAUUUCCUUUGACUGGACCUGGGAUAAAUCCCUGCUCUCAGAGGGACCUUCUGCUGUGUGUGUGUGUGUGUGUGUGUGUGUGUGUGUGUGUGUGUGUGUGUGUGUGUGUGUGUGUGUGUGUGUGUGUGUGUGUGUGUGUGUGUGUGUGUGUGUGUGUGUGCGUGUGCGUGUGUGUGUGUGUGUGUGUGUGAUUGACUCUUGCUCUCCGGGUGUGAUGCCCCUCCUCCCACAAGUUUUUUUUAAACUAUUUGAUUAAGUGAUUAUAUUUGAGAUCGGAGGUGCUGAUUGAUGACUGAGGUUAGCUCUGUUCUGAUUGGUUAACACAGUUGGGGGGGGGGGGGGACACACAUCUUCCUCCAGGUAGAUGUAAUGCGCUCUGAGGUACUGGGUUUUAAUCACUAAUUAACCUAAUUACAACCUAAUUAAUUCAUGAUCAUGAUAACAAAAAUAUAAAAGCAUUAUAAUUUGUACAUUUUAUAUUUAUUUCCAUCACAAUCCUCAAGUGAACACAGCCUCAAUAAUAAAUGUAAUAUGCAAGUGUAUUAUAGAUUUAAUAUAACUGAAAAGCACUUUCAUCAUUCAUUCAUUCGUUCAUUCAGAUCAUGUUUGAUUAAGUCCCUCUACUCCUCUGAUAUUUGUAGGAUAUCAGAGAAGAUAUAGAUGGAUGUAUUGUCUUUUAUUGUGUGUGUUUUACUUUUCAACCAAAUCUACUAAAGUGAGUCCCUCUGGUACCCCGGGUGAAAGGUCAGGGGUCAAAGGUGACAGGGACUGUUCUGUUAGUACAACCCAGUAAACACACGUCUACGCCGACAGUUACACUACACUGUUAAUCACUGACCAUCCAGACUGAUGUGACACCCGACUCUCUCGAUCUAAAGCCUCUGUAGACACAACUAGUCUCUCUGGAUCUAGAUUGACUUGGUGGCAACUCUCUCUGGAUCUAGAUUGACCUGGGACACAACUCUCUCUGGAUCUAGAUUGACUUGGUGCAGAACUCUCUCUGGAUCUAGAUUGACCUGGGACACAACUCUCUCUGGAUCUAGAUUGACCUUGGACACAACCCUCUCUGGAUCUAGAUUGACCUGGGACACAACUCUCUCUGGAUCUAGAUUGACUUUGGACACAACUCCUGACCAACUAGAGGCACAACUCUGGAAAUCCUGAAUAUAAUAAAUAAACAAAUAAACACCUGUCCUAUAACAACAGCAUAGACAUUUUGAUGUGCAUGUCGACAUUGCGCAUUCUGGUCUAUUUGUAUCAAUAUGCACACACAUACACAUACACACACACCCUUAUGCCUCUCAACAUCCUUCCCCACAUUGCCCCUAUGUUGUCGACACGCCUCAAGAACGUGCUGGAGGCUCACUCUAACGCUUUACGUGUGUGGUGUUUGUGCAUAUUUGUUUGUUUUGUGUUUUUGUAUUUACAUGAAUAUAUGUGUGUGUGUGUGUGUGUGUGUGUGUGUGUGUGUGUGUGUGUGUGUGUGUGUGUGUGUGUGUGUGUGUGUGUGUGUGUGUGUGUGUGUGUGUGUGUGUGUGCCUGCGUGUGUGAGAGUAUGCAUUUACCUGUGUGUGUGUGUGUUUGUGUGUGUUUAUACGUGCGUGUGUGUGUGUUUGUGUGUGUGUGAAUGCGUGUAUGUGUUAGUGUGUAUGCCUGUGUGUGUGAGGUUGUGUGUUUUAUAUACAUGUACGUCAUGCUCUUCGAUCUCUGGGCCGCUGUGUUUCCCGCAACAGGGUCCAUGUUAUGCUGUUGUUUCAAUACGGGCACCACUUUAUGGGGUCCUUACACCCCUUGCCCACUGCAUCCGUCCGUUGACGGAUCUCAUUGACUUUGCAUGGGGCGAUCCCGAAAUGCAUUGUGGGUCCGUCCGUUCCGUUGGCUCCGUCCCUUGCGUUCAGAAGUUGAGAAGAUUUUAACUUUUCAGGCUGCGACGGACCCGUCAGCCAAUCAGAUCGUGGCUCCGUCUGCAAAUACCACUCCCCCAUCCGUCAGACACGCCUUCCGUCGUCCGUUGACGGAUGGAUGCAGUGGGCAAGCUGCGUAUAUCUGCUAAAGUCAUCAGGACCCCCACGCACACUGGUACUGGUCUGGUUGACAGGAAAUAUCAACCACCUGCACCCACCCCCCGGUGGCACACACAUAUAUGGGCACACGCACACACACGCACACACACACACACAUAAGCACACACACUCACACAUACGCACUCACGCAUACACACAUGCACGCCAAAUAUAUACACACAAAAAUGUCUGUAUGCACAUAUCAAUGCACACAGCCACUCACAUACAGACAUACACUUGUACAUACACACAUGCACACACUCGCACAAACGGCGCAUGCACACACACAACGCAUACACACACACAGCCUAUCUUCCUAACAUCCCAGGCCUGUAGUUUUUCUGUGAAUCCUGCCGGUGAGCCUUCAAGCAGAGUAGGGAUCUCCUUUUCUCGAUCCAGGUGUGGAGUACAGGGGGUCGUCUCCGUGACGACGAAAGAUGGAUGACAUGCUGGUCUGAGCCGCUGAAUGAACGCUCGGCAAAUCCAUUGGAAGGUUCUGAAGUAAAACACUUUCACAGAGGUGUCUGCUGACCCCUGACCCCAGCCCCCCACUAAACCCCAAGCAUUGCCUUAAACUCAAUCCACAAACCAUCACCCUCACCCAGACCUAGCCCACCCAACCUCACCCUGAACUCUGGUCAGCUGACAGAUGUGAAAGUUACAUUUAAACAAUGGGCACUCGAUGUCAGAUCUGUUUCUCUCUCUCUCUCUCUCUCUCUCUCUCUCUCUCUCUCUCUCUCUCUCUCUUUCUCUCUCUCUCCGCCUCUCUCUUUCAUUCUGUGCCUCUGAUUCUCUCUCUGUCUUCUAUGGUGAGGCAUCUCCAACUAAAUAGCAGGGUAAUUUCCAAAGAAAUCGAAUCAAACUGAACUUAAUUAAUGGAGCGGUAUGGUGCAAAAGACAAAUACAAAGUGCUCAACAAGGACAAUAAAUUUGUUUAGAAUAACAAUGUAAGUCAAAAUGAGAGAGACACAUAGUUGUUGCACGAAGACACUAUGUGGAUAGUGUAAUGAAUAGAAAACACAGAGAAGCUGGAACCUCUUCCAAAAUGUUUGUAGACUGAAUCAUUACUUUACUCGGGCGACGUUUAUAAGGGGGAAAAAUGUUAAGAAUUCCACUUGAGAGUCCAGUUGACUUGUGUGUAAGGAAUGACACACACACUGUGAUUCAGGACGCACAAAAGAAAACACAUGUUGUGAUAGCUGAACAUGACAUUUAGACUUGCCCACACACAGACACGCGCACACACACACACACACACACACACACACACACACACACACACACACACACACACACACACACACACACACACACACACACACACACACACACACACACACACACACACACACACACACACACAAUCAGUCACUCGCUCACUCACUCUGCCAUGUUUGUGUCUGUGUGUGUGUGUGUGUGUGUGUGUAUUUGUGUGUGUGUUCUCUGAUCCCCUGUAUCUCAGUCAGACGUGUCAUAACAGCGGCUCGGUUACCCCGACCCUUAACACACACCAGAUGUGGCAGAGAGACAGAGAGAGAGAGAGAGAGAGAGAGAGAGAGAGAGAGAGAGAGAGAGAGAGAGAGAGAGAGAGAGAGAGAGAGAGAGAGAGAGAGAGAGAGAGAGAGAGAGAGAAGGCAUGAAGAGUAGAGAACAAAAUAAAGUAAUGGAGGCGAGAGGGAGAAAGAGAAAGCAAGCUAGAGAGCGAGAGAGAUGAUGGAGGAGAGAGAGCAAGAUAAAUGUAAAGUGAGUGGCUAGUUGGGUGUAGAGAAAAAGAGAGUAAGUGGGGGGCCGAGAGGUACAGGGGGAGGGGGAGAUAUAGAGGGAAAGAGAGUUAGAGCGAGAGGGUGUCUGUGUGAGAGAGAGAGAGAGAGAGAGAGAGAGAGAGAGAGAGAGAGAGAGAGAGAGCGAGAGAGAGAGAGAGAGAGAGAGAGAGAGAGAGAGAGAGAGAGAGAGAGAGAGAGAGAGAGAGAGAGAGAGAGAGAGAGAGAGAGAGAAGUUGUUGUUGGCCCCCGCAAAGAACUUGAUGAAGUGCUUAGGUCACAUCGUCCUCCCUCCUUCAUCCAAAAUUCCUUCCUCUCAAUCUCCACGUCCCCUGUCUCUGAAUCUUAGUCCUCUUAGACCUGGUUAUAUGCUCUUAGUUGGACCUUGCUCCCUGUCACCACCUCGUUCACAUAUAAAUAACGAUCUUCUCUCAUGGAACCCCAUGUUUUCUUGGUGAAAUUCCUAUAAUUCUCUCUCUCUCUCUCUCUCUCUCUCUCUCUCUCUCUCUCUCUCUCUCUCUCUCUCUCUCUCUCUCUCUCUCUCUCUCUCUCUCUCUCUCUCUCUCUCUCUCUCUGUCUCUCUCGGAUACUGUUGGAUUGAGAGUGCUUUAUCAAUUAGUGUUUUUGCCCAUGUUUACCGGUCAUUUGUUUAUUUAUUUUCUAUCAAGUAGCUUUAAGAUGGUUAUGCCAGGUGAUCCCACCAAGGCCCGACUCACUGCCAGGCAUGGCUGCAAGGGCGUGCCGGACGCCUCGGUAACGGUGGACCAUGUUUUGCUCGAAGUACGCAGAGUAGUUGGUAGGAAAAUCAAUCAAUCAUCCUCCUGUAUGAACAAAGCCAUCGUAAAAGGCCCUAUGCCUAUAAAUUGAUUGAGGAAGGACUCAUAAUUAAAGACUCACACGUCCAAGUUUUGCUCCUAUCUUCAACUUCCAAGAGGAUUAUUCUUUCGAAUGUACCCCCUUGUUCUGACAAUGACAUUGUGGAGAGGAUCCUGUCCAGAUAUUCAAAACAAACUGCGCCGUUCUACUUGGCUCUAAAGUGCCGGAUUUGGUUCAUGUGGAAAGCUUCAGAGGGCAAACUUUCAUGAUUCUGAAUGCACAGUAUCAUGACUUGGACGUGGCUGUGCGAUUGAUGCGGGAGGCGAAGGAAUAUGUCAUACACUUUUCCUCCAAAAAAAUGUACGUGUGGGGAACACAGACAUUUUAAGCUAUCAUGUCCGGACAUGGAGUGGGAAGAACGGCCUUUGGUUACAAAAAUGCAGAUUUUGAAAUAGAUGUGAAUGAGUACUAGGAAGUUACCAUGGAGAUUAGCUGCAAUCUGUAGAGGGGGAAAGGGUAGAUGUUCUGGAGCAGCUUGUUCAGAAAGGUGAGCAGAAACUAUAUUCCAUUGAUAGACUGAGCAAAUGCCGGGAUGACCCAAAGGUUCAGUAUAAAAUAAACAUUGAUUAUUUUUGUAAGCAUUGACUGUAAUUUGUUUUUGAUGUCCUCUAAAAAAUGUUUUCAGAUUGUUUCCUUCUGUUUUAUUUUCUUUGUUUUUGUUUGUUUGGUUUGAUAUAAAAAAAGGGAAAGAAUAUUAUUGUUUGUGAUUGACUAUGACAUGUCUGA